GCGGCCCGGCGGCGUCCCCGGGCCCGCGCUCCUGCGGCCGGGCUCCGGAGCGGAGACCCGUCCGGGAGACCCGAAACGCCCCCACUGGGGGAACUUCUCCGCGGACUUGUGAGGCUCUCGGGACGCGGGAUCGCCUCAGCGGCGGCCUCGGCCCCGGGAGUUCUGCCGGGAGCGGGGAGGCCCUGGCGUCUCAGGUGAGUCCGCUGUUCCCUAGACCGGCGGGACACCCGGAGGCUGCACUCAUCCCGCGGGGUCUCUGAGGCCCAGCGGCCUCGCCUGCCUCCCUAGAGACAGUGGGCUCGCCAGCGUGCAGGGUCCCAGGGAGAAGAAACUGCUGGGAAGACACUGGAUCGCCCAUGACCAAGCCUGACUGAAGGGGCUCAAGAGCGUAUACCCGAGAAACCACGGCGCAGAGCCCCUCUCGGAGGCCGCAGCCCAUCUAAGAGGUGGGCUGACUGUGCAGGUGAACCCCUAGGCCGUCCACUUAGCAUGGCUGUGAUCUUGGGCAAAUGCCUGUCCUGGAUGAGGGCAGGCGCUCCACCUGUAAAAUGGGGGUAACAGUGGUAUCUACCCCGUGGGGCUGAUUUGAGGAUGAGGGCAGCUUUUGCUGUACAAUAACCUAUCCAUAAACGUUCGUUUUUAUGAGCCCAGGGCCUGCCAGGUGGUAGGUGUUCACUAGAUCAUGUACACUCUUAAAAGCACCCACUGAGCUGGGACCAGCAGUGGGAAAGUGAGUUGAAUCAUCCUCACCCCUGCUGCCUGGAGUAGCCUGGUAUCCUGUGGAUAAUUAUCUGGAGCACCCUGGAGAUUUAUGGAAAUGUUCACACCAUGCACAAGCAAUUAUGAAGGGUGAAGAUCGCUGCUAGAUCUCUCCUCUCAUCCCUCCCAGGACCCACUGGCCCCGCUGGCCCACUUGCAGAAAGCAAGCCAUCAGCCUGCUUACUUUAUAGCAAGUGAAAAAAAAAGGUCUAGAAGGCCUUGAGGUGGAAAGGAAGCUGCUUCUCUGAUGCUCAGUUCCAGGAGCCAUCUCUUGUCCAGCGGAGUCUGUGGCUUGGCAGCUGGAGGUGUGAGUCACCCCUAAUGGAGGUGGGAGAAUGGAGGCGUGGAGGGAGGCCCAAUCCCAACAAAUCACAUCCAUGUUCACAAGAGCUCCUGCCAACAGCCCCUCUUGGAGCCUGGGGAUCAGCAUCCCACAUGGCCUUCCCUUUGCUGCACUAGAUGCAGCUUCACCUCCCUGCGUUCCCCUGCCAAGUGGGGUCAGCUGCUUGGGCAGUCACUCCAGUCCUGCCCACGCUGCAGAAGACAGGCACUGUGUGUCCCUCCUACAGAUGGAAUGGAUGCUCGUCAGCUGCUGUCAAUGGAGAGACAGGAGGCCCUCAUGCAAACUGGCAGCCCUAGAGGAGAACCCGCCACACCUGUUGGACAGAAACAGUACCCAGAACCCUCAGCCUGCCUCUGCCCGACAAGGCCCUGGCUGCCUGGCCAACUGGCUUGCAGAAGAGGGACAUUGGUCCGAGUCAAGGGGACCAGGUUGGAGGCAUUGUAUUGUCACCUGGCAGUAGUAUGUCUGGGCAACAUGCGUUCUCUCUCUCCCCCUUCCCCUGCUGGCCGGAUGUCCCUCAGAUUCAUCCUGGAUCCGGUGCUGUUCUUCUUUGAGUAUAUGGCCUGCUUCAAGGGGAGACUAAAAUGCAUCUGAAUUUUUAUUUGGAGAGAUCUGAAUUUAUUUUAUUAACAAGUCUGGUCCUUUGGGGCCGAACUUUCCAUUUGUCAUGGAAGUGCCGGACAAAAUCUUGACUCCAAUGUGGUAGAAAGACCAGCUUCCCAAAAUGAACAUCCUAAAUCAAA